AGAGUUUGAUCCUGGCUCAGGAUAAACGCUGGCGGCGUGCCUAAUACAUGCAAGUCGAACGAAGAGUUUGUAGCAAUACGGACUCUUAGUGGCGAAUGGGUGAGUAACGCGUUGGUGACCUGCCCCGAAGAAGGGGAUAACAGCUCGAAAGGGCUGCUAAUACCCCAUGUGGUCAGCGGCUUUAGAAACCGCUGACUAAAGCAGUAAUGCGCUUCGGGAGGGGCCUGCGUCCCAUCAGCUUGUUGGUAGGGUAAUGGCCUACCAAGGCUGCGACGGGUAGGGGGCCUGAGAGGGUGGCCCCCCACAUUGGCACUGAAACACGGGCCAAACACCUACGGGUGGCAGCAGUAGGGAAUAUUGCACAAUGGGCGAAAGCCUGAUGCAGCAACGCCGCGUGCACGAUGAAGGCCUUCGGGUUGUAAAGUGCUUUUUGGGGAGAUGAGGAAGGACAGUAUCCUCAGAAUAAGAAUCGGCUAACUACGUGCCAGCAGCCGCGGUAACACGUAGGAUUCAAGCGUUAUCCGAAUUUACUGGGCGUAAAGCGCGUGCAGGUGGUUUGGUAAGUUGGAUGUGAAAGCUCCUGGCUCAACUGGGAGAGGCUGUUCAAAACUACCAGACUAGAGGACGGUAGAGGGAGGUGGAAUUCCCGGUGUAGUAGUGAAAUGCGUAGAUAUCGGGAGGAACACCAGUGGCGAAGGCGGCCUCCUGGACCGUUCCUGACGCUCAGACGCGAAAGCUAGGGGAGCGAACGGGAUUAGAAACCCCAGUAGUCCUAGCUGUAAACGAUGUAGACUUGGUGUCGGUGGGGUAAAAGCCAUCGGUGCCGAAGCCAACGCGAUAAGUCUACCGCCUGGGGACUACGGCCGCAAGGUUAAAACUCAAA
rnacentral:rRNA from 1 species